AAUUAUUCAUUUUGAUAUGCAUAUUAAAUAAAAUUCGUCAAAUCAAAGUGAUAUUCACAAAAAUCCCAUCGUCUAUCUUUCUUGCUAUAGUGGUGCUCGCAUUUCGUUCGUUGUAUUCAAUUUCGUCCGUUAUGUCGGAUCAAAAAUAUUGGAGGACAGUCGUUUCCCAUCUAAAGAAAGAGAGGAAUCGUUGGUGUUCGGUCGCGUACCUCGCGAACCACGACGCGUAAAGAAAGAAGAAAAGGAAAAGGGGGAGAGAGAGAGAAAGCAAAAGACACAGCGAGAGCGAAAGGGAGAAGAAAAGUUCCUCGAUGCCGCUUACUAGACGAUGGAAGGGAUACUUGGCUUGGGAGGGAGAAGGUAGAGAGCAGUGGACGGCGGAAGGAGGCGACGAAGAGGGGGAAGAAAGAAGAGAGAGAAAGGGAAAAAAGGCACGUUGUCCAAGUAGAUGCGAUACGCGCCGGAGAUCGUACGCAAUGCCUGCGGCUAUCUAGCUUAACUCGUGAAAGCCUAACGAAUGUUCUCUUCUUACCGUGUAUGUGAAUUUCUGUCGCGCGCACGAUCCUCAACCAAACACCUGCGCGAGAUAAUGUCUCGUAAUAGCUUCUGCACGAAUUUCGCGAUCAAUCUGAUACAUAAUUUUUGAUAGUUUUCAACCAGCAGCAGAGCGGCGGCAGCAGCAGCAGUAACAUCUCCUCUGACGCCGCUCCUCUGUCCUCGCGACGAGUCAUCUCGUUUAGGUCGUGCAAGCCUGCAGGGGGAAUGAGGAGGACUCGAUGGCGCGCGGAGACGCCGGGCACUCAAGGAGUGGGGGAAGGGGAUCGCUAGCUGUGGCGCAGGGAAGAGGGGCAGGAAGGGCCGAUGAGCCAAGGAACGAGGAGAGGAACCGAGAAGAGAGGCGACAGGGUCGAGGGAGAGUAGCUACGGGACAGAAGGAUAUAUGGCUGUGUAUUAUGUACUCGGAACCCGUGUUACAUACGCCUCCGUUUCUCCAUGUAUACGUAAGCAAGCAGGUGUGCGUUUUCUUCUGUGUGUUCAUACAUGUGUUGGUUCAGGCGCGCACGUAUACCAUCGUAUCCUGAUGCGAUGUGUACAAAAGUGUGUGCGAGCAAAGGCUCACUUCUCACGCGAGUCUCUUAACCAUCUCGCAUCGAAGAUGUGGCGAACAUGGAAUCACGCGACUCACGUAAAAAAUGAUCCUACGAUCCUGGCGCGGAAGAUGGAAGGACGGAGUGAGAGGAUGGUGUUGCGCGGCAAGAGAUGGGAUAAUGGCACGCCGAAUGGAUGACGCGUACAAGAAUGGAGAUUCGAGCAGUGUUCGUGGGUGGAGUAGAGCGGAGAACAGUACCAGACAAAUUGCAACUGAUAAUUAUCACCAUUGCUGGACAGAGGUAUCGG